rnacentral:rRNA from 1 species
AGUGAACGCUGGCGGUAGGCCUAACACAUGCAAGUCGAACGGCAGCACAGGAGAGCUUGCUCUCUGGGUGGCGAGUGGCGGACGGGUGAGGAAUACAUCGGAAUCUACUCUGUCGUGGGGGAUAACGUAGGGAAACCUACGCUAAUACCGCAUACGACCUACGGGUGAAAGCAGGGGACCUUCGGGCCUUGCGCGAUUGAAUGAGCCGAUGUCGGAUUAGCUAGUUGGCGGGGUAAGGGCCCACCAAGGCGACGAUCCGUAGCUGGUCUGAGAGGAGGAUCAGCCACACUGGAACUGAGACACGGUCCAGACUCCUACGGGGGGCAGCAGUGGGGAAUAUUGGACAAUGGGCGCAAGCCUGAUCCAGCCAUACCGCGUGGGUGAAGAAGGCCUUCGGGUUGUAAAGCCCUUUUGUUGGGAAAGAAAUCCAGCUGGCUAAUACCCGGUUGGGAUGACGGUACCCAGAGAAUAAGCACCGGCUAACUUCGUGCCAGCAGCCGCCGUAA